AACGAACGCUGGCGGCAGGCCUAACACAUGCAAGUCGAGCGGACCCUUCGGGGUUAGCGGCGGACGGGUGAGUAACGCGUGGGAAUAUGCCCUUCUCUACGGAAUAGUCCUGGGAAACUGGGGGUAAUACCGUAUACGCCCUUUGGGGGAAAGAUUUAUCGGGGAAGGAUUAGCCCGCGUUGGAUUAGGUAGUUGGUGGGGUAAUGGCCUACCAAGCCGACGAUCCAUAGCUGGUUUGAGAGGAUGAUCAGCCACACUGGGACUGAGACACGGCCCAGACUCCUACGGGAGGCAGGAGUGGGGAAUCUUAGACAAUGGGGGCAGCCCUGAUCUAGCCAUGCCGCGUGAGUGAUGAAGGCCUUAGGGUUGUAAAGCUCUUUCAGCUGGGAAGAUAAUGACGGUACCAGCAGAAGAAGCCCCGGCUAACUCCGUG
rnacentral:rRNA from 1 species